UGUGUAGGCGGAAUAUUAAGUCAGUGGUGAAAUCCUGCGGCUCAACCGUAGAACUGCCAUUGAUACUGAUAUUCUUGAAUGUAGUUGAGGUAGGCGGAAUGUGUAAUGUAGCGGUGAAAUGCUUAGAUAUUACACAGAACACCGAUUGCGAAGGCAGCUUACUAAACUAUGAUUGACGCUGAGGCACGAAAGCGUGGGGAGCGAACAGGAUUAGAUACCCUGGUAGUCC
rnacentral:rRNA from 1 species